UGACCAGUUUCUUUGCCUCUUUCACCAUGCC
rnacentral:piRNA from 1 species